UGGACUAAGCACAAGAUCAGUGUUUUCAUACACAGAAAGCUAUGGGAAAGCCCUGAAGCAAGCCAGGUUGGCAGAGGAGACAUCAAAUUUGGAAUCUGGUGGUGAGGAGGAGCCAUGCACAAGAAAAAGAAAGGUUCCAAGUCGCUAUGAGUUUUCAGAGAGUGGACCUGCUGAUGGUGUGUUUUCAUAAAGCAGACAAUUGCUUGUUUUUUGGCCUCGUGGGCUAUGCAGAUGUGUGUCCCUGGGGAUUUUCAAUUGGGUGGUUUGCUAAUAUGUUCUAAUACUGGACAAGCCUAAUGUUAUUUAUCAAUAACAGUGUCAGCAAGUUUGUUGCAAGAUUUUUAUGCCCUGAUAGCAUACGUUAAUGUUCUAUAACUCUAUAAAUUUAUAACGCUUUUAGCUAACUUAUACAUGAUAUGCUCUGCUUUUUUCAACAGAAAAACUGUUCAGUUUAUUUCUAAGCCUUUUAUUCAGAAGCCUGCAUCAGAGCUCAUAAGGCCAGAGAAUUCGAAAUUGAGGAGUGCAUUGCCGAGACACUGAAACAUGCACCACCCAAACCAGGGGGAUCAAAAAAACAUGAACCGUACACGUCGGGACCAGGAGGCCGAUUCAGCGUGCGACACUGAUUCAGAUUGAAUAGCAGACAAACACCAAAGACCCUUAACCUGCCCUAACCCUAACCCUAACCUGCAUCUAACAACAAAACUAUACACGAAUUAAAAAUAACUAACUAGUAUUAAAAACUAAUUUAUUGUGUUAACGUAGAUGUUGAAAGUAGCUCUUGUAAUUAAAAAUGCAAAUUUAAAACCUGUAUAUUGUAAUGUGCCUUUAUUGUAUAUAAUGUAAAAAUAAAAAUUGUCACAAACUAUUUUAAGUGUUUAUUUUUAUUUUUUGAACUCUAUCAGUUGUGCAACAUAUUUUAAAUGUAUAUUAACUUAGUUUUUAUGGCAAAAAAAUACAAACUAAAAUUAUGCAUUUCAUGAGCAGAUGGGCAUUAUCAAUUUAAACGAAUGUAAAAUUCUGUGAUGUUCCCGUGAAAUAAUGUACAUGUCAACUUUCAUGCUCAUGUCUUUUUUGCUUUAAUUGAAAAUUAAAUACAAAAUUAAAUAUUCUUUUGAACGUGUACACAUGGUUGCAGGAAUGUUGCAUUACAACGUUGUAUCACAACGUUGUGGCAACGUUCAGGGGAGUUUACAAAAUAACGUUGCCACAACGUUGUAUCACAACGUAAGC